GCCAGGCCAGGUGCCUGCAGAAAUAGCACCAAUAAAGAGAACAGGGUGCCCAGGUAGACUUUUGUCUGGCCAAUGUUGAGGUAACGGGAAGACAUUUAAAUUGUCCAGCAGGCAGCUGAGAACAAGAGAUUCAGUCAUUUGUGUAGAGGUGGGGCCAAAAGAUGAGAUUUCGAAAAACAGUGUGGGAUGGAGGAAGCAGGUGGUUUGAAUCUUGUCCACAAUGCGGGGACUGAAAGGGGAAGUGGAGGCUGGAGGAGGCACCAGAAGAGCAGUUUCUGCAGAAUGCUGGAGGCAAAGCAGCUUGCAGGGUGCUAAUGCACUGAGCUGGUAGGAAGGGGAGGGGAGGAAAUGGGAGCUGUAGGGAGAGGCAGGAGUGGGAUGGGGAAAGCAGAACAGGUUUGGAGGACGAGGUUAACAUGCAAGGGGGGCGGGAAUCGCUGAGUGCCGGGCACUCAUGCCUUCUCUCCCCACACUUGUCCCUGCUCCAGCUCCAGCUGCCCAGCACAGGAUCCCCACCACCUCCCCUUUUCCUGCCCACGGAUCCCCCAGUGGUCUGGCUUCUGGCCCAAUGCUGGGUGCGCAGCUCUGACUUCCAGCUCCGUGAGCUGCAGUCUCAUCUUCUGAGGGGACACUUGAUGGCUCAGGUCAUUGUUGUGGCCACCAUGAGGUGCCUGCCGUCGAUACAUCCUAUCUUCAAGGGUUGCUGCAAAGAUCGAACGAGAUAACUAGUGGAUUCAACAGGGACAGGAAGGCCUGGCACCCAGCAGGUGGGCAGGGCGUAACUAACUGUUCAUUCAUCCACCUCCCUGGGCUCCCCACACUGCAGAAAACCAGAGACAAGUCAGCAGCACAGUGGAGCUUUCCGCGGGAGACAGAGCAUUUAAUGAGAGCAAGAGCUGGACAGUGUGGUCAGGAAUCGUCCCACCCAAGGAACCAGACACAUACUCGGUCCUUGAUGGGGUUUCCUGAGGCUCUCAUACUUUCUCCUGCCCUGGAAAAUGCCAUCCAGGAGCUCAUCUCUUUGCUACUGCCUCUCUUCCAGAGCAGCACAAGAAGGAAAUAAAAUGGACUUGCGGGGGAAAGAAGAUGCUUGUCUCUCAUGUCUGUCUCUUACAGGGGGGUUCUGAAGAUUCCCACAGCCUCUCUGGAGUUGUUGCCCCACUUUGGGGUCUUUGUCCGAGUAACUUCAAGUAGAUUGGCCCACGGGCAGGGGUUGUUUGCUGAGAGAUCACCAAGCGCUGCUCAAUCUCAACGAUCCUCUGUUGUCACCAGCCAUGGCUGUGAAGGCCAGUCAACAAAGGGAAGAUUUUACCCAGAGGAGCUCAAACGCUGGCAUGAAAGACUCUGAAGUGGCAUAGCCAGUGGAAAUUAACAGCUGUGUCCACUCUGGGCCUCAGGUGAGGGAGGGCCUAGAUAGCCCACUGUGGCCCCCAGAG
rnacentral:lncRNA from 1 species